rnacentral:rRNA from 1 species
GACGAACGCUGGCGGCGUGCCUAAUACAUGCAAGUAGAACGCUGAAGAGAGGAGCUUGCUCUUCUUGGAUGAGUUGCGAACGGGUGAGUAACGCGUAGGUAACCUGCCUUGUAGCGGGGGAUAACUAUUGGAAACGAUAGCUAAUACCGCAUAACAAUGGAUGACACAUGUCAUUUAUUUGAAAGGGGCAAUUGCUCCACUACAAGAUGGACCUGCGUUGUAUUAGCUAGUAGGUGAGGUAAUGGCUCACCUAGGCGACGAUACAUAGCCGACCUGAGAGGGUGAUCGGCCACACUGGGACUGAGACACGGCCCAGACUCCUACGGGAGGCAGCAGUAGGGAAGCUUCGGCAAGGGGGGCAACCCUGACCGAGCAACGCCGCGUGAGUGAAGAAGGGUGUCGGAUCGUAAAGCUCUGUUGUAAGUCAAGAACGGGUGUGAGAGUGGAAAGUUCACACUGUGACGGUAGCUUACCAGAAAGGGACGGCUAACUACGUG